GACGAACGCUGGCGGCGUGCUUAACACAUGCAAGUCGAACGGAAAGGCCCUGCUUUUGUGGGGUGCUCGAGUGGCGAACGGGUGAGUAACACGUGAGUAACCUGCCCUUGACUUUGGGAUAACUUCAGGAAACUGGGGCUAAUACCGGAUAGGAGCUCCUGCUGCAUGGUGGGGGUUGGAAAGUUUCGGCGGUUGGGGCUGGACUCGCGGCUUAUCAGCUUGUUGGUGGGGUAGUGGCUUACCAAGGCUUUGACGGGUAGCCGGCCUGAGAGGGUGACCGGCCACAUUGGGACUGAGAUACGGCCCAGACUCCUACGGGAGGCAGCAGUGGGGAAUAUUGCACAAUGGGCGGAAGCCUGAUGCAGCAACGCCGCGUGCGGGAUGCCGGCCUUCGGGUUGUAAACAGCUUUCGCAUGUGACGAAGCGUGAGUGACGGUAAUGGGUAAAGAAGCACCGGCUAACUACGUG
rnacentral:rRNA from 1 species